rnacentral:rRNA from 1 species
GACGAACGCUGGCGGCGUGCCUAACACAUGCAAGUCGAGCGGAGUCGAUCGACGGAAGCCUUCGGGCGGAAGAUGGUUGACUUAGCGGCGGAUGGGUGAGUAACGCGUGGGCAACCUGCCUCGAAGACCGGGAUAACAGCCCGAAAGGGCUGCUAAUACCGGAUGUGGUCAAAGAUCCGCAUGGAUUUUUGAUUAAAGGGGAAACCCGUUUCGAGAUGGGCCCGCGUCCUAUCAGCUAGUUGGUGAGGUAAAAGCUCACCAAGGCGACGACGGGUAGCCGGCCUGAGAGGGUGACCGGCCACACUGGAACUGAGACACGGUCCAGACUCCUACGGGGGCAGCAGUGGGGAAUCUUCCACAAUGGGCGAAAGCCUGAUGGAGCGACGCCGCGUGAGCGAAGAAGGCCUUCGGGUUGUAAAGACGUCUGUCUGGAGGACGAAGGAAGUGACGGUACUCCGGAGGAAGCCACGGCUAACACGUGCCAGCAGCCGACGGUAAAACCGAACGCGUAAGUGU